UGAAAGUUAAGGUGCAUUUACACCAAUUUUCAUAAUACUGUUGUGGUGUCAUAUUAUUUAAUUUAUACUUACCAGUGUUUCUACUUGUUGGUAGGAAGUGAAAGAUACAAGGUGGUAAUCUCAGCAUCUAGCCAUACAAAAUCUCCAGAGGAGCCUUCCAGCCGUGCUGGCUGCUCUUGCAGAGGAGACGAGUACAAGGAAGUGCCCAGUGGUCAAAGGCCUAAACACCUUCUGUGCCACAUACUGCUUUGUGGCUGCCCUCUACCUUCAAGCAGAUGUGUUGCCCCACAUAUCAAUGCUGUCAAAGGUGUUUCAGAGAGCAGAUGUGAACUUUCUCCACAUAAAGGAACAGGUAGAUUACAAAGGAAUGCAUUUGAUAAAGAAUGAUGCUCCCAGAUGUUUGCAUUAUGUAGUCUAUAAUAUUGUUGUCUUUUUCCACAUUUAGGUUCCAGUCACACUUGCUAUUCUGAGGAGCAUUCUGGAGGCAGGCGAGACCCCACUCCCCAGAUCAUUCCUUGCUCGCCUUCACCAAGACCUGGAUGACCCAGAAGGACUUAGGGCCUUCAGCAUUGCCAGUGAAGCGGGGAGGAGCAGGAGGGGACACGGAAACCAGGAGCACCUCCGGGAAAAGCUGUGGGCCAGAUUCGUCAGAGAUGGCAGGAAGCCAAAGUUCUGCAGGAGUGGACAUCCUACAAGCAGCAUGUACUAUCAGGAUCAUUUAAGGACAAGACACAAGCUCAGAUCGUGCAGCUGCUGGCCAGUGAAAACGAUGAAAUAGAAAUAUAUCCAAACCUCUGCCCUGCGAGAGAGAUUUUUUAACCAUGAACAGGGUCAAAACUGACCUGAGAAACAGACUGAAAGGGGAGCACCUGGCUGCAUGUGUGCGAAUAUCGAUAAAUGGACCAGCACCAGAGGCGUUCCCAUAUGCACAGGCGUUGGAGCUCUUCUUUGAAAAACCUAGAACGAUUAAGUGCUCUGACAAACAGUGCCAUCU